GUUAUAUUCUGCCAGGGAGGGUUAUAUUCUGCCAGGGGGAGUUAUAUUCUGCCGGGGAGGGUUAUAUUCUGCCAGGGGGAGUUAUAUUCUGCUAGGGGGGUUAUAUUCUGCCAGGGGGAGUUAUAUUCUGCAAGCGAGGCUUAUAUUCUGCCAGGGAGGAUUAUAUUCUGCCAGGGGGAGUUAUAUUCUGCAAGCGAGGGUUAUAUUCUGCCAGGGAGGAUUAUAUUCUGCCAGGGGGGGUUAUAUUCUACCAGGGGGAGUUAUAUUCUGCCAGGGAGAGUUAUAUUCUGCCAGGGAGGGUUAUA